rnacentral:rRNA from 1 species
UACGGAGGGUGCGAGGCGUUGUCCGGAAUCACUGGGCGUAAAGGGCGCGUGAGGCGGCUCUUAAGCGGGCGGUGAAAGCCCGGGCUCAACCCCGGGUCGGCCGGGCUCGCGAACUGGGAAGCUCGAGCACUGUAGAGGCAGGUGGAAUUCCGGUGUAGCGGUGGAAUGCGCAGAUAUCAGGAGGAACACCGGUGGCGAAGGCGGGAUCCUGGCCAGUACUGACGCUGAGGAGCGAAAGCGUGGGGAGCAAACAGGG